rnacentral:rRNA from 1 species
AUUGAACGCUGGCGGCAUGCUUUACACAUGCAAGUCGAACGGUAACAGGCCGCAAGGUGCUGACGAGUGGCGAACGGGUGAGUAAUGCAUCGGAACGUGCCCAGCCGUGGGGGAUAACGCAGCGAAAGCUGUGCUAAUACCGCAUACGAUCUGUGGAUGAAAGCGGGGGACCGUAAGGCCUCGCGCGAUUGGAGCGGCCGAUGUCAGAUUAGGUAGUUGGUGGGGUAAAGGCUCACCAAGCCGACGAUCUGUAGCUGGUCUGAGAGGACGACCAGCCGCACUGGGACUGAGACACGGCCCAGACUCCUACGGGAGGCAGCAGUGGGGAAUUGUGGACAAUGGGCGCAAGCCUGAUCCAGCAAUGCCGCGUGCAGGAAGAAGGCCUUCGGGUUGUAAACUGCUUUUGUACGGAGCGAAAAGGCUCUCUCUAAUACAGGGGGCUCAUGACGGUACCGUAAGAAUAAGCACCGGCUAACUACGUGCCAGCCGCCGCGGUAACAC